rnacentral:rRNA from 1 species
CGCAUCUGUGCAUGCAGCAUAUCAAUAAGCGGAGGAAAAGAAACUAACAAGGAUUCCCUUAGUAACGGCGAGUGAAGCGGGAAGAGCUCAAAUUUGAAAUCUUCAAGGUUUUACCUUGACGAAUUGUAGUUUAAAGAAGUGUUUUCUGUUGAAGUUUUGGUAAAAGUUCUUUGGAAUAGGACAUCAUAGAGGGUGAGAAUCCCGUAUUUGACCAUUAUUUUCAGCUGUGUGAUACACUUUCAAAGAGUCGGAUUGUUUGGGAAUGCAGUCCAAAAUGGGUGGUAAAUUUCAUCUAAAGCUAAAUAUUGGCGAGAGACCGAUAGCGAACAAGUACCGUGAGGGAAAGAUGAAAAGAACUUUGAAAAGAGAGUUAAACAGUACGUGAAAUUGUCAAAAGGGAAGCGUUUGACACCAGUGUUGUUUUCUCGAAAAUCAAUUAAAAGGAGUUUGAUUUUGUUGUGUAUGACCUUAACAGCUUGCAUUUCAAUUUUCUUGCUUUUUUUAAUGCACUUUUCGUUUAACAAGUCAACAUCAGUUUCUUUUGUUGUAAAAAGGUCAUUGGAAGGUGGCUUUCUUUUCGGAGAAAGUGUUUAUAGCCUUUGACUCCUGCAAUCGGAGAGACUGAGGUCUGCAGCGUAGAUCCUUCGGGGUUAGAUACAUUUGUGCUAAGUUAUAGCUUUUUAUAGACAACUUGUUGACUAUGAUUAGUCUUGUAGCUUACUCGCUUAUGCUAUUUUACCUACGCUUAGGAUGUUGACACACGCGCGUGCUCG